AGUUAGCCGACACUUAUUCCUGUGCUACCGUCCUUUUCUUCACACAGAAAAGAGCUUUACGACCCGAGGGCCUUCUUCGCUCACGCGGCGUUGCUGCGUCUAGCUUUCGCUCAUUGCGCAAUAUUCCUCA
rnacentral:rRNA from 1 species